rnacentral:rRNA from 1 species
UACGUAGGCAGCGAGCGUUGUUCGGAGUUACUGGGCGUAAAGGGUGUGUAGGCGGUUGUUUAAGUUUGGUGUGAAAUCUCCCGGCUCAACUGGGAGGGUGCGCCGAAUACUGAAUGACUCGAGUGUGGGAGAGGUGAGUGGAAUUCCUGGUGUAGCGGUGAAAUGCGUAGAUAUCAGGAGGAACACCUGCGGUGUAGACGGCUUACUGGACCAUAACUGACGCUGAGGCACGAAAGCGUGGGUAGCAAACAGG